GACGAACCGUCCUAACGUUGUUCGGAAUCACUGGGCUUAAAGGGCGCGUAGGCGGUCGGCAAAGUUAGGGGUGAAAUCUUUCGGCUUAACCGGAAAAGUGCCUUUAAAACUAGUCGACUCGAGCGAGAUAGGGGCAACUGGAACUUCCGGUGGAGCGGUGAAAUGCGUUGAUAUCGGGAGGAACGCCGGUGGCGAAAGCGGUUCUCUGGGCAUGUCCUGACGCUGAGGAGCGAAAGUGUGGGGAGCGAACAGG
rnacentral:rRNA from 1 species